AACGAACGCUGGCGGCAUGCCUAACACAUGCAAGUCGAACGAGAUCUUCGGGUCUAGUGGCGCACGGGUGCGUAACGCGUGGGAAUCUGCCCUUUGGUUCGGAAUGACAGUUGGAAACGACUGCUAAUACCGGAUGAUGACGAAAGUCCAAAGAUUUAUCGCCAGAGGAUGAGCCCGCGUAGGAUUAGCUAGUUGGUGUGGUAAAGGCGCACCAAGGCGACGAUCCUUAGCUGGUCUGAGAGGAUGAUCAGCCACACUGGGACUGAGACACGGCCCAGACGCCUACGGGAGGCAGCAGUGGGGAAUAUUGGACAAUGGGCGAAAGCCUGAUCGAGCAAUGCCGCGUGAGUGAUGAAGGCCUUAGGGUUGUAAAGCUCUUUUACCCGGGAUGAUAAUGACAGUACCGGGAGAAUAAGCUCCGGCUAACUCCGUGCCAGCCGCCGCGGUAA
rnacentral:rRNA from 1 species